GACGAACGCUGGCGGCAUGCCUAAUACAUGCAAGUCGAGCGAACAGAUGAAGUGCUUGCACUUCUGACGUUAGCGGCGAACGGGUGAGUAACACGUAAGGAAUCUACCUAUAAGCGGGGGAUAACAUUCGGAAACGGGUGCUAAUACCGCAUAAUAUCUUCUUCCGCAUGGAAGAAGAUUGAAAGACGGCUCUGCUGUCACUUAUAGAUGACCUUGCGGUGCAUUAGUCAGUUGGUGGGGUAACGGCCUACCAAGACGAUGAUGCAUAGCCGACCUGAGAGGGUGAUCGGCCAAAUUGGGACUGGGACACGGCCCAACAUCCGACGGGAGGCAGCAGUAGGGAAUCUUCCGCAAUGGGCGAAAGCCUGACGGAGCAAUGCCGCGUGAGUGAAGAAGGCCUUCGGGUCGUAAAACUCUGUUAUAAGAGAAGAACAAAUUGUAGAGUAACUGCUACAGUCUUGACGGUAUCUUAUCAGAAAGCCACGGCUAACUACGUGCCAGCAGCCGCCGUAA
rnacentral:rRNA from 1 species